GACAGAGUCUCGCUUUGUCACCAGGCUAGAGUGCAGUGGUGCAAUCUCGGCUCACUGCAACCUCCGUCUCCCAGAUUCAAGCGGUUCUCCUGCCUCAGCCUCCUCCCCAGUAGCUGGGACUACAGGCUCGCCUCACCAUGCCCAGAGAGCCUCCUUCAUCUAGAUGUGGUCCCUGAGUCUUCUAUCACCUGAGUGUUUGACCUGGAUGUCACUUUGAAGAUCAUAACACAGAAGUAAGCCUUGUGGAAGCAAGUGCCUUUCACAGCACCAUGGGUGUGCCCUGAGAAACAGAAUACAAGGUAAAACCUCAAUGUGCCAGGAUGAGUGAGGAUUUAGGGGUAAUUAUUCUUUCUGGUUCACUGGAAAAUGUCUUUCUGAAAAUUAAAUCUAUUACAAUAUGAAAGUUGCUUUGCUUACUAUUCUGGCUUGUACAAAGAAGACUAAAGCGGAGCACCUGCUCUCAAAGAUCAGAUAAUUCAGGUGAGGAGUUAAGGCAAAUGUGAAUGAAAAUUUAACUAACAAGAGAGUUAAUUAGGCAGCAUGGGAAGGCGAUGUCUUUUCUGAAAAAGAGAUAUUGAAGGUUAGCUUCCCAUUUUCUACAGCAGCUUAUUUCCCUGCACUGAUAAAUAAGAAAUGGUAAAUAUAAUUGGGUCAUUCUUUCAAUAUAAUAUCCUGUGGCAUAUUAGGUCAAUAAUACCAAUAAUAACAACAGCCACUUAUAGAGUGCUUAAUACUUCUCAGUUUAAUAAUAACUUUUGUAAAUUAACAAUUUAAUCCUCCCAACAGUCCAGUGAGCCAGGAGCUAUUACCCCCAUCUUUUGGAAAAAGAGAGGUUAAAUAACUUGCCCAAGUUUACACAGCCAUUAGGUAGCUGAGCCAAGCUGGCUCCAAA
rnacentral:lncRNA from 1 species